UUGAAAGGUUACUGUUGAAAGGUUAUCCUACCCUCCAGAACAGUAGAGAGCCUGCAUCACACAGGGCUCACCAGCCCAUUCAUACCCUACUGAGCUCAAAAUACUAUUCAGGCCACACCCUAAUGAACCACACCCUGCUCUGUGACCCGAUACAUUGUUGUCAAACUGGCAGAGAAUUUCUUAAAGAUCUACUCUCAACUUUUGCAUUUAUUCCUCAAGGACAAGUGGCGGUCCCUGGACAACCUCGUGGAUGGCAUUACUCGGAAACUCAGACCUUCCUUUCUGUGGGUCUUGGCAAUAUCGCUUCUUGUUACAAACGUUGAACAUUAUCUGGUGCUAGAUAUCUUUUUUUGGAUAAUGGUAAUUAUAAAUUUUGUUCAAGUAUUAUGAAGCUGCCUAACACUGAGAAGGUGCCUGCGCCCAGGAGGAUGAGUAGAACUAACACCGUCAGUUCUAGUGACAUAAGAACAUUGUCGUUCUUGUGACUACUCUGGCACAACAUCUUGGUCAUCGCCAUUUUACAGAUAAGUAAAUAAAGCUUAUUAAUGUUAACAGUGUCAAAGGGUCCAUGCUAACUUAUAAAGCAUCAUGGACCCAAACCCAUGUAUUGACGUCCUUAGACACAUGUCUUUCAUAACUUUCUUAUGUUAAAGUGACAGGUAAAAAUAAACAUAUUUAAGCCAAACAUUUUCCUGCCAAGCUCUCCUCAGAGAUCCUCGACUCUGUCAAGGGUGGUAUUUCAAACCCCUAAGUAGUUCACCAGAACAAUAUCUCUCACAGCGCUGUAGGUUAUGGUUAUCCCACUUGUAAACCGUCAAAACAUGCUGUAUCAGAAGUUAAGUGACACGGGCAUAUGAGCAGUAUUACUUUCCAAUACCACCGUGCCGUGACCUUCAUGUCUAAUAGGAUUAUAGUGGUUGUCUUAGGGUUUCUACUGCUGCAAUGAAACACCAUUACCAAAAAACAACUGGAGGAGGAAAGAAUCCAUCACACUCUUCAUCACUGAAGGAAGUCAGGACAGAAACUCACACAGGGCAGGAACCUGGAGGCAGAGGCCAUGGCGGGUGCUGCUUACUGGCUUGCUCCCCCUUGGCUUGCCCAGCCUGCUUUCUUAUAGAACUCAGGACCACCAGCCCAGAGAUGGAACCAACCACUAUGGGUUAAGCCCUCUCUCGUUGAUCACUAAUUGAGAAAAUGCCUUAUGGCUGGAUCUCGUGGAGGCCUUUCCUCUCUGAUGACUCUAGCUUGUGUCAAGUUGACCUAUAACCAGUCAGGACACUGGUUUCUCAUCAAUGAGAGCAGUUUGUAUUUUGAUAAUUGGGUUUAUCUAGUUAAUUGUUGAAGAAAGCACUGGAUAUUAAGUUAGAGUUGGGAUAGAAUGUAGGGAUGCAGGAGCUCAUAGAGGCCUUUCUCCUGGCUCAAUAAACAUUCUGUUGUGUAGACAGGGUCAUGUGGCUCAGCUCUGGCCGACAUGGUAGAGACAGAGGUCAGAAAGACCAGAUAAGGGUGUGUCCUUCCUCCUAAGUUUCCUCUCAGGUCUCCAUGUUAUCUCUUUACUCCAUCUACUGCAGACUCAGAGGAUUUCAUGGGGGACACUGAUGUAAGAAACUUGGGUCCAACCCCAACUCAGCCCACAUUGGGUGUGUCCUGUGACAGGAUGCUGAGUUAAACUUCCAACACCAUGUGAAGUUACUGAUUGCUCUUGAUAGGAAUCGUAACUAAUAUACUCAGAAAAAAGUGAGGAAGUAAAAUCAAGGGGCAAAUUUAAGACACACGAUGUGGACAUUCUAAUAAAAUCAGCCGCCGGGAGCACAGAAUGUUCUGUACUCUAAAUAGUGACCUGGAGUUUUCUAAUAACAGCCGAGAGGACUUUCCUGUUUGGAUUUAAUCCGGCUCAGGUGACAGAGCUGUAAUUUAUGUGGCUAAAUAUUUAGCAGUGUUGACAAAACGGGGCUCCUGGUAAUUUAUGGAGAUCCUGAGUUAAACUGUGCUUGCCCUUGUCAAUUAGUUCCCUGUUUACAGCCCUGCAGAUGAUCCGCCCUGGUUUAAACAAUGCUAGCUUAGCGGAUGCUCCAGUGAUUUCCUUCAUCUGUGGCUACAUUAUGUGCUGAGAUGGUUUGUAUGUGCUUGGCCCAUGGGAAGUCAUACUUUUAGGAGGUGCGGCCUUGGAGGAAGUACGUCACUGUGGGGGUGGGCUUUGAGGCUUCUAUGCUCAAGCUCCACCCAGUGUGGAACCCCACCUCCUGGUUGUCUGCAGAAGAGAAUCCCCUCCGGGCAAAAUGUAGAACACUCAGCUCCUUCUCCAUAACCAUAUCUGCCAGGAUGCUGCCAUGCAUCCCACCACAAUGAUAAUGGACUGAACCUCUGAAACUUGUGUGCUUUGGAAAAAGAAUCAGCGGGUUCCCUCAGAAGGAGGAAAAAUCAAGGUCCAGAACAUCUGUGGCUUCCAGACCUAGGCUGCCCAGUUGGCCCUGCUUGCUCCGCCUGAGUGCCAUCUGUCUUCUGGAUCCUGAAGAGAACAUUCAUUCAUCCUGUGGACACCUGCACCCAGUGGAAAAUGGGUGGCUUCUCUCUGCACCAAAAUCUCUUGCUUCACAUUCUUCUCCCUGGCAUUCCAAACGGUGCCUCACGGCAGCCAGAGCCUACACAUUCUGACCGUAUGUCUGGGUGUCUUGACAGUAAACGUAUUUUCGGAAAAAAAAA